CGCGGCCUAUCAGCUUGUUGGUGAGGUAAUGGCUCACCAAGGCAUCGACGGGUAGCUGGUCUGAGAGGACGAUCAGCCACACUGGGACUGAGACACGGCCCAGACUCCUACGGGAGGCAGCAGUGGGGAAUAUUGGACAAUGGGCGAAAGCCUGAUCCAGCAACGCCGCGUGAGGGAUGACGGCCUUCGGGUUGUAAACCUCUUUCAGUAGGGACGAAGCGCAAGUGACGGUACCUACAGAAGAAGCACCGGCCAACUACGUGCCAGCAGCCGCGGUAAUACGUAGGGUGCGAGCGUUGCCCGGAAUUAUUGGGCGUAAAGGGCUCGUAGGCGGUUUGUCACGUCGGGAGUGAAAUCUCAGGGCUUAACCCUGAGCCUGCUUCCGAUACGGGCAGACUAGAGGUAUGCAGGGGAGAACGGAAUUCCUGGUGUAGCGGUGAAAUGCGCAGAUAUCAGGAGGAACACUGGUGGCGAAGGCGGUUCUCUGGGCAUUACCUGACGCUGAGGAGCGAAAGUGUGGGGAGCGAACAGGAUUAGAUACCCUGGUAGUCCACACCGUAAACGGUGGGCGCUAGGUGUGGGACUCAUUCCACGAGUUCCGUGCCGCAGCUAACGCAUUAAGCGCCCCGCCUGGGGAGUACGGA
rnacentral:rRNA from 1 species